GUAGCUCAGUUGGUUAGAGUGCCGGCCUGUCACGCCGGAGGUCGCGGGUUCGAGCCCCGUCACUCGCG
rfam:Sphingomonas sp. LH128 Contig598, whole genome shotgun sequence.